rnacentral:rRNA from 1 species
UUAUCCGGAAUUAUUGGGCGUAAGCGCGCGUAGCGGUUUUUAAGUCUGAUGUGAAAGCCCACGGCUCAACCGUGGAGGGUCAUUGGAAACUGGAAAACUUGAGUGCAGAAGAGGAAAGUGGAAUUCCAUGUGUAGCGGUGAAAUGCGCAGAGAUAUGGAGGAACACCAGUGGCGAAGGCGACUUUCUGGUCUGUAACUGACGCUGAUGUGCGAAAGCGUGGGGAUCAAACAGGAUUAGAUACCCUGGUAGUCAAGGGCG